rnacentral:misc_RNA from 1 species
UUUCCGUAGGUGAACCUGCGGAAGGAUCAUUCGUAAUAAGGGUUUUAUCGCACUUUUUUAAACAACCCUUCACCUUGUGUACAAUGGUAGGGUCGGUCUCCUUGUCAUCAGCCCCAAACGGCAAGUAUUAUCUCAACUCUUUGUCUGAAACAUAUUAUUAAUAAAACAAUUCAAAAUACAACUUUCAACAACCGAUAUCUUAGCUCUCUCAUCGAUCAAUAACGCAACAGAUCAGAAGGGCACACGUCGGUAUUCCAGUCACGCAUAGUCCACUCGUAU